GUAUCUGACUCAGGACCUGAUGUAAGGUUUGGGGUUUUUUGGCCUUUUGUUUCUUCCUCUUGUUUUUUGACCUUUAGUUACUCCACACCUCAUUAGUUCCUUGACCUGCAGGUGGACUGAGAAGAGAGCCAUGGGGUUAGUUAUAGCAGGCAAGAGUGUGGUUAUCGUUGGACCAGGAUUCAGGAUCUGACCGAGUAGCUGACUCUUAAUCCAGUUUGUGUUGAUCACCAGGAGGAUCUGGACCUCAGUGUUAUCAUAUCUAGAGCUAUAAUCACAUCCCUGUUAAGCCUUCCUGAGAUCACAUCAAAUGUCCUUGAUGGGAAUUGUAAACAAACCUUAAUUCUGGUAUCUAAUGAUAUUCCAGGAAAGGAGUCAAACUAGAGUCAGUGAUAUGCCAACUCCACCUUUGCCUUCCACCAUGUUUGGAAGCUCCCUGAGGCCUCACCAGGAGCAGAUGCUCAUCCCAUGCUUCCUAUAAGCCUGCAGAACUGUGAGCCAUAAUAAACUGUGAAUUAUAAAUUGCCUUUAUAGCAAUGCAAAUGGACCAGUACAGACGGGAUGCUGGGAAGACAGUUGUUCCACCUUCAGUAAAGUCCAUGAAACACAGUUGUGACUAUAUUCUAGGCCAGCAAAGAUGCUUGUAUUCAGAAAGGAGUGGUCUCAGGACCAUAGGAACGUGAAGAAAUAAAAAUAAGAAAAUAAAGAA
rnacentral:antisense_RNA from 1 species